UGCACUGACUCGAGGCUGCCUGACUGAC
rnacentral:piRNA from 1 species